CCCCGCCUCCCAAGGGGACCCGGCUUGAGGAGCAGUGGUGGGAACUUCGAGACUAGGACGGCGCGAAAGGUUCUGGGGAGGAUUAAAUGAGCUCAUGGGAUAUCCAGGUGACUGAGGCAGAGUCGGCUCGGGAUGAAUCUUUGCUUCGUUUUCAUUAGCUGCGGAGAAGACGAUGACAGCUUGGUGCCUGUCCAACUUUAAUAUGGGUUCUGGGGAGGAUUAAAUGAGCUCAUGGGAUAUCCAGGUGACUGAGGCAGAGUCGGCUCGGGAUGAAUCUUUGCUUCGUUUUCAUUAGCUGCGGAGAAGACGAUGACAGCUUGGUGCCUGUCCAACUUUAAUAUGGG